rnacentral:rRNA from 1 species
AUUGAACGCUGGCGGCAGGCCUAACACAUGCAAGUCGAACGAGUCGCGGACGGGUGAGUAAUGUCUGGGAAACUGCCUGAUGGAGGGGGAUAACUACUGGAAACGGUAGCUAAUACCGCAUACCAUCAGAUGUGCCCAGAUGGGAUUAGCUUGUUGGUGGGGUAACGGCUGACCAAGGCGACGAUCCCUAGCUGGUCUGAGAGGAUGACAAGCCACACUGGAACUGAGACACGGUCCGGACUACUACGGGAGGCAGCAGUGGGGAAUAUUGCACAAUGGGCGCAGGCCUGAUGCGGCCAUGCCGCGUGUAUGAAGAGGGCCUGCGGGUUGUAAAGUUCUUUAAGCGGUGAAGCGUUACCAGCAGAAGAAGCACCGGCUAACUCCGUGCCAGCAGCCGCGGUAAUAC